rnacentral:rRNA from 1 species
AGUGAACGCUGGCGGUAGGCCUAACACAUGCAAGUCGAACGGCAGCACAGUAAGAGCUUGCUCUUACGGGUGGCGAGUGGCGGACGGGUGAGGAAUACAUCGGAAUCUACUUUUUCGUGGGGGAUAACGUAGGGAAAUUUACGCUAAUACCGCAUACGACCUACGGGUGGAAGCAGGGGAUCUUCGGACCUUGCGCGAUUGAAUGAGCCGAUGUCGGAUUAGCUAGUUGGCGGGGUAAAGGCCCACCAAGGCGACGAUCCGUAGCUGGUCUGAGAGGAUGAUCAGCCACACUGGAACUGAGACACGGUCCAGACUCCUACGGGAGGCAGCAGUGGGGAAUAUUGGACAAUGGGCGCAAGCCUGAUCCAGCCAUACCGCGUGGGUGAAGAAGGCCUUCGGGUUGUAAAGCCCUUUUGUUGGGAAAGAAAAGCAGCAGGUUAAUACCCCGCUGUUCUGACGGUACCCAAAGAAUAAGCACCGGCUAACUUCGUG